GUGCUCGCUUCGGCAGCACAUACACUAAAAUUGGAAUGAUACAGAGAAGAUUAGCACGGUGCCUUGCGCAAAAAUGACAUGCAAAUUCAUGAAGCGUUCCAUAUUUUU
rnacentral:snRNA from 1 species